rnacentral:rRNA from 1 species
AUUGAACGCUGGCGGCAGGCUUAACACAUGCACGUCGAGCGAGCGGCGGACGGGUGCGUAAUGUAUGGGAAACUGCCUGAUGGAGGGGGAUAACUACUGGAAACGGUAGCUAAUACCGCAUACCAUCAGAUGUGCCCAGAGGGGAUUAGCGAGUAGGUGGGGUAAUGGCUCACCUCGGAGACGAUCCCUAGCUGGUCUGAGCGGAUGACCAGCCACACGGGAACUGAGACACGGUCCAGACUCCUACGGGAGGCAGAAGUGGGGAAUAUUGCACAAUGGGCGCAAGCCUGAUGCAGCCAUGCCGCGUGGGUGAAGAAGGCCUUCGGGUUGUAAAGCACUUUCAGCGAGGAGGCGUUACUCGCAGAAGAAGCACCGGCUAACUCCGUGCCAGCAGCCGCGGUAAUAC